rnacentral:lncRNA from 1 species
CGACUGGCUUUGCACUGACGGCGGGUUCACCAGGGUGGUAUCCAUCUGGCAUGUCUGGGAGGCACCGCUGUCCUUUGGUCAUCUGUUACCGCAUGAGACUGAAGUGCUCACGCUGGCGCUGUUACCAUGGGUGAAGAUGGACGUUUCGGGAUACUUCAGGAAAUAAACUCUUGUUGCUGCCUGCAUCGUUGAAACAUAAGAGGUUUUCCGUAGUUGCCUUGCGACCUUUGCUCUCUUCAUCAGUUCUCAGCGAUACUGUGAGUAUCAAGCUUUUCAUACUGGGUUGCCCAGAAGACCCAAUAGAGGUUGUGCACGGU